rnacentral:lncRNA from 1 species
UUCCCAGGUCUGUCAACAUCAUGAAAGGGAUGCCUUGACCGGCUAACUUUAGUGGAGUAUCUGAUGUUAGUGGUGUGCUAUAUGUGCAUUGUGUGUAAUGCGAAAAUUCAUCGCAAAUCAAAAACUUCCUUUCUUCAAGUCCCCUUGUAUUGCAUGAAUCUAAUGACAUAAACAAUAUUCUUAGGGCAUGGUCACUGUUAAGAAUCUGGGGACUUCCCUGGUGGCCCAGUGGCUAAGACUCCACACUCCCAAGGCAGGGAGCCUAGUCAGGGAACUAGAUGCCACAUGCCACAACAAAGACCCAGCAUGGCUGAACAAAUAAAUAAAUAUCUUUCAAAAGAAUCUGAAAAAAAAAAAAAGCAGGCCUCCCCUAGCAGUCCAGUGGUUAAGAUUCCCUGCUUUCACUGUAAGGGGCCUGGGUUUGAUUCCUGCUCAGAGAACUAAGAUCAUGAUGCUCGAUGUGGCCAAAAAAAAAAAAAGAAUCUGAAUGUGUGGAAUCCAGAGAGCACACUCUGGAUUUAUGGCCACUUCUCACCUCCAUGAAGAUGCAUCUAUGUGAUAGGCCUAGAAAUGAGUCGUCUGCCCUUACUCAGAAUUUUUGCUACUUACAAAAACUUAUUAAUUGAAAAGUCUUCCUCUAAACCUCACAAGCACUCAGGACCAUGCCCUGAGGUGGUGUUCGGUGGAUACCUUCACACAGAGUUAAGGCCUGAUGUGUUAUUAUAGUGGUUUCAUUUAAAUAGUUAUGCUGCUCUUUUUCCUCCCAGAAGGGUCUCUGCUUCUCCCUAACCCGCUGUUGUCAAGGGGACAGAAUCUUAGAAUUGAGGCUCAUGAGGCAUGAGGAUGCAGGCUUGCCUGUCAUCGGGCCCAAUGAAAAUUUCAUGCACGGAAGUCAAGACCAGCUCUCAUGCAUUAGCUCUGACACUUGAGGAGUCUAACAAAGAAGAUGCUAUAUCAAGAGGAAGAGAAGAAAGAUGGACCACCACACACAGAGCUGCCAAGGAUCCUGCACAUAUGAUAUUAUCAUGGGGAAUUUUCCCCUUGUCUGCCCAGAUGCAAAAAUGUUGUUGGAGUGAGAGACUGGGAAACUUGCCUGGUACGAAAUUCUAGUACCCCAACUUCCCGGUUUUGGCAAUUUAGCAUCUUGGGAAUCUGUUCUAGAUAAAGUAAGGCAGACCACGUAAAUAGGUUCUCCAAGAACGUCAGUGUGGUUCAGGCAGCUUUGAUGCUGGGGUCCUCCAUCUGUGGGACCACCUCCCGGUUUCACCUUAUUCCCUGACGCUGAUUAGCAGCCAAAUUCUGAAGCCUCUUGAGCUUAAGGUCCCAGCCAAAUGGCCCUACAGCCUUCCUGCUUGAGUAAGCCUCCAA